rnacentral:rRNA from 1 species
AUGCAGUCGACGAUGAGGGAGCUUGCUCCUGGAUUAGUGGCGAACGGGUGAGUAACACGUGAGUAACCUGCCCUUGACUCUGGGAUAAGCCUGGGAAACUGGGUCUAAUACCGGAUAUGACCUUCCAUCGCAUGGUGGUUGGUGGAAAGCUUUUGUGGUUUUGGAUGGACUCGCGGCCUAUCAGCUUGUUGGUGGGGUAAUGGCCUACCAAGGCGACGACGGGUAGCCGGCCUGAGAGGGUGACCGGCCACACUGGGACUGAGACACGGCCCAGACUCCUACGGGAGGCAGCAGUGGGGAAUAUUGCACAAUGGGCGCAAGCCUGAUGCAGCGACGCCGCGUGAGGGAUGACGGCCUUCGGGUUGUAAACCUCUUUCAGUAGGGAAGAAGCGAAAGUGACGGUACCUGCAGAAGAAGCGCCGGCUAACUACGUGCCAGCAGCCGCGGUAAUACGUAGGGCGCAAGCGUUAUCCGGAAUUAUU